rnacentral:rRNA from 1 species
CUGGGGAUCUGCCCGAUAGAGGGGGAUAACCACUGGAAACGGUGGCUAAUACCGCAUAACGUCGCAAGACCAAAGAGGGGGACCUUCGGGCCUCUCACUAUCGGAUGAACCCAGAUGGGAUUAGCUAGUAGGCGGGGUAAUGGCCCACCUACGCCACUAUCCCUAUCUGGUCUGAGAAGAUGACCACCCACACUGGAACUGACACACGGUCCACACUCCUACGGGAGGCAGCAGUGGGGAAUAUUGCACAAUGGGCGCAAGCCUGAUGCACCCAUGCCGCGUGUAUGAAAAAGGCCUUCGGGUUGUAAAGUACUUUCAGCGGGGAAGAAGGCGGUGCGGUUAAUAACCGCGUCUAUUGACGUUACCCGCAAAAAAAGCACCGGCUAACUCCGUGCCAGCACCCGCGGUAAUACAGAGGGUGCAAGCGUUAAUC